rnacentral:tRNA from 1 species
GGGGAUAUAGCUCAAUUGGUAGAGUACUUGUCUCACAUGCAAAAGGCCCUGGAUUCAAUCCCCAGCCCA